rnacentral:rRNA from 1 species
GAUGAACGCUGGCGGCGUGCCUAAUACAUGCAAGUCGAGCGAAUGGAUUAAGAGCUUGCUCUUAUGAAGUUAGCGGCGGACGGGUGAGUAACACGUGGGUAACCUGCCCAUAAGACUGGGAUAACUCCGGGAAACCGGGGCUAAUACCGGAUAACAUUUUGAACCGCAUGGUUCGAAAUUGAAAGGCGGCUUCGGCUGUCACUUAUGGAUGGACCCGCGUCGCAUUAGCUAGUUGGGGAGGUAACGGCUCACCAAGGCAACGAUGCGUAGCCGACGUGAGAGGGUGAUCGGCCACACUGGGACUGAGACACGGCCCAGACUCCUACGGGAGGCAGCAGUAGGGAAUCUUCCGCAAUGGACGAAAGUCUGACGGAGCAACGCCGCGUGAGUGAUGAAGGCUUUCGGGUCGUAAAACUCUGUUGUUAGGGAAGAACAAGUGCUAGUUGAAUAAGCUGGCACCUUGACGGUACCUAACCAGAAAGCCACGGCUAACUACGUGCCAGCAGCCGCGGUAA